GAACGCGAGGCGCCCUUUCGGGGGCGUAGUAGAGUGGCGCACGGGUGAGUAACACGUAGACAACCUGCCUUCGAGCCCGGGAUAACCUUUCGAAAGAAGGGCUAAUACCGGAUAACACUGAGGGGCGCAUGCCUCUUGGUUGAAAGGCUUGCUACUCGAAGAGGGGUCUGCGGGACAUUAGCUAGUUGGUGGGGUAACGGCCUACCAAGGCUCUGAUGUCUAGCGGGUCUGAGAGGAUGAUCCGCCACACUGGAACUGAGACACGGUCCAGACUCCUACGGGAGGCAGCAGUGGGGAAUUUUGCGCAAUGGGGGCAACCCUGACCGAGCAACGCCGCGUGCAGGAAGAAGGUCUUCGGAUCGUAAACUGCUUUUCUCGGGGAAGAGAGAGGACGGUACCCGAGGAAUCAGCCCCGGCUAACUACGUG
rnacentral:rRNA from 1 species